GGCGGGGUUCCCGAGCGGCCAAAGGGAGCAGACUGUAAAUCUGCCGUCAUCGACUUCGAAGGUUCGAAUCCUUCCCCCGCC
rnacentral:tRNA from 1 species